rnacentral:rRNA from 1 species
CCCCUAGAUGUUCUGGGCCGCACGCGCGCUACACUGAACAGUUCAACAAGUCUUAACCUUGGCCGAUAGGUCUGAGUAAUCUUUGAACGCUGUUCGUGAUUGGGAUAGACCUUUGCAAUUAUGGGUCUUCAACGAGGAAUUCCUAGUAAACGCAAGUCAUCAGCUUGCAUUGAUUACGUCCCUGCCCUUUGUACACACCGCCCGUCGCACCUACCGAUUGAAUGGUCCGGUGAAAUCUCCGGACUGGCGUGAGUCGGAGCAAUCUGACAAACGCCGGAAAGUUGAUUAAACCUUACCAUUUAGAGGAAGGUGAAGUCGUAACA